CCUUUCUAUAUUGUACGUUUGGAUUCGCAGAAACACAUUGAUUUUAGUUCUAAAUCACCAUAUGGUGGUGGUCAACCUGGUCGUGUAAAACGUAAGAACAUGAAGAAAGGAGGACAAGGUGGAUCCGCUGGUGAAGAUGAAGAUGAGGAUUAGGACUGGGGUCUCUCUUCAUGUGAAAGCUGUCAUGUGGAAUAUAUAAUUCUUAUGAGACAUUGUAAAUCAAUCAAUAAUUUUGAUGCACAAUUCAA